ACCCUUCCUCGCUCUAUCUCCGUCCUCUCUCGUCUUACCUCAUCUCUGAGUUCUCUCUCGGCUCCGAAAUUGGGAGGGGUUGGGAUUUGGGAGGCCAGUCGCCGUACUGGUAUCGGGUCCGGCCUGGCCGUGGGGCCUGGUCGGUAACAACUUUACCCGAUAAGGAUAUCGGAUUCAUUUGCUGGGCUCAUCUCUUAACGGGUCCCCAAUAUCCUGACCAUUCUAUUAUUUUAUGGUUUCCUCCCACCGUCCCCGUCGCUGCCAUCGCCGCCUUCUUUCGGUCCGGCGGCUUCCUCUUCCUCUCUUCUCUCCCUCUCCUUCCCUUUCCUCUCCGUUUCUCCGGUGAUCUGUGGCGGUCUCAAGUUCGGUGCCUGGCGGUUGGAGUGCUGUGAGUUGAGUGGCUCGCCCUGCUGUGCCGAGUCAGGCCGCCCCUUCCCGUCCACUACGGCUGGAGAUAGCUGAUUGACCUCCGGAGAGGAAGAAGUGUGCAAAGAACUAAGAGGGAAAGAGAGAGAUUGGGGUGGAAGGCAGCUGAGAAGAUAAUCCAACGCUGGAAGAUCCUCAGAGGAGAUAAUGUAAUGAUCAUAAGAGGGAAAGAUAAGGGUGAGACAGGUGCCAUCAAACGCGUUAUCCGAUCCCAGAAUCGAGUCAUCAUUGAGGGAAAUAAUCUGGUU